GUCUUGUGUAGCCAAGUGGUAAGGCGCUCGAUUUAGAUUCGAUGAACAUGGGUUCGAUUCCCAUCACAAUUUG
rnacentral:tRNA from 1 species